AACGCUGGCGGCAGGCCUAACACAUGCAAGUCGAACGGUAACAGGAAGCAGCUUGCUGCUUCGCUGACGAGUGGCGGACGGGUGAGUAAUGUCUGGGAAACUGCCUGAUGGAGGGGGAUAACUACUGGAAACGGUAGCUAAUACCGCAUAACGUCGCAAGACCAAAGAGGGGGACCUUCGGGCCUCUUGCCAUCGGAUGUGCCCAGAUGGGAUUAGCUAGUAGGUGGGGUAACGGCUCACCUAGGCGACGAUCCCUAGCUGGUCUGAGAGGAUGACCAGCCACACUGGAACUGAGACACGGUCCAGACUCCUACGGGAGGCAGCGGUGGGGAAUAUUGCACAAUGGGCGCAAGCCUGAUGCAGCCAUGCCGCGUGUAUGAAGAAGGCCUUCGGGUUGUAAAGUACUUUCAGCGGGGAGGAAGGCGGUGAGGUUAAUAACCUUGUCGAUUGACGUUACCCGCAGAAGAAGCACCGGCUAACUCCGUGCCAGCAGCCGCGGUAAUACGGAGGGUGCAAGCGUUAAUCGGAAUUACUGGGCGUAAAGCGCACGCAGGCGGUCUGUCAAGUCGGAUGUGAAAUCCCCGGGCUCAACCUGGGAACUGCAUUCGAAACUGGCAGGCUAGAGUCUUGUAGAGGGGGGUAGAAUUCCAGGUGUAGCGGUGAAAUGCGUAGAGAUCUGGAGGAAUACCGGUGGCGAAGGCGGCCCCCUGGACAAAGACUGACGCUCAGGUGCGAAAGCGUGGGGAGCAAACAGGGAUUAGAUACCCUGGUAGUCCACGCCGUAAACGAUGUCGACUUGGAGGUUGUGCCCUUGAGGCGUGGCUUCCGGAGCUAACGCGUUAAGUCGACCGCCUGGGGAGUACGGCCGCAAGGUUAAAACUCAAAUGAAUUGACGGGGGCCCGCACAAGCGGUGGAGCAUGUGGUUUAAUUCGAUGCAACGCGAAGAACCUUACCUACUCUUGACAUCCAGAGAACUUAGCAGAGAUGCUUUGGUGCCUUCGGGAACUCUGAGACAGGUGCUGCAUGGCUGUCGUCAGCUCGUGUUGUGAAAUGUUGGGUUAAGUCCCGCAACGAGCGCAACCCUUAUCCUUUGUUGCCAGCGGUCCGGCCGGGAACUCAAAGGAGACUGCCAGUGAUAAACUGGAGGAAGGUGGGGAUGACGUCAAGUCAUCAUGGCCCUUACGAGUAGGGCUACACACGUGCUACAAUGGCGCAUACAAAGAGAAGCGACCUCGCGAGAGCAAGCGGACCUCAUAAAGUGCGUCGUAGUCCGGAUUGGAGUCUGCAACUCGACUCCAUGAAGUCGGAAUCGCUAGUAAUCGUGGAUCAGAAUGCCACGGUGAAUACGUUCCCGGGCCUUGUACACACCGCCCGUCACACCAUGGGAGUGGGUUGCAAAAGAAGUAGGUAGCUUAACCUUCGGGAGGGCGCUUACCACUUUGUGAUUCAUGACUGGGGUGA
rnacentral:rRNA from 1 species